CUUAUGUGUUUAAAUGCAAUUAAAUAUGUAGGAAAAUAAAAAUUACAAAAUACUUUUAAAAUAAUAAUAAUGCUUUAGUUCUGCUUAUUUCGACGUUAGAUUAACUCUCUGUGAAGUUCUGUACAUUAGAAUGACCCAUAAUAUGCCAAGAUCAUUUCUCUCUUCUGGUUCUCUUAAAUAUUGAUUAUCCUUUAGGGCAAAGAGAGAUCAUAAAUAAAGAUAGUUAAGGGGAAUGUAAAAGUGAUAAAUAUUAACUUGUAAUCUCUAGAGGCCUCAUGUAAUACAUGAUCUGGGGUAAUGCUGUUUUAAACUCAAGCCAGUCCAUCUUUUACUUUUCUUUCUGUUUUUAAAAGGAAAAGGGAAUUUAGUUGUGAUGAUUAUUCAAGAAUAUAUAUUAAUAUUGGUAUUUCUUGGAAUUUCUGGAAAACAUUCUGGCCCGUCUACCAUUUGCUUCUCAGAAAAAAACAUUUUAUACAAAUUUUCAGUUUUAAAGACAGAAUAGUAGACAAUGAAUUCCAGAAAUGGAUUUUUAAAACAAACCAUUUCAGUGAAAGGCACUGAAGAUCUGGUAAUAAAUCUAGGAAAUAAAUUUUAACAUAUUUACAGUCGGGUUUUUAUUUUUUAACAAGAGUGAUAGUGAUGUUGUAUAUAAGGACUUGUAUCUUGCACCACUGUAUUGAGAGCUAAUCCCACCACAGAGGAAGGCAAAUUUAGUGUGCAUUCUUGAAAGUGCUUAGUACUUUGAGGUUGGUCCAUUGAGCCAACUGAGAAGAUUCUUCUCUAAAACAUGAGGAUCUUGUGUCGGAUCUUGUAGCCUAUUUAUGUUGCCUUCCUUAUCAUAACAAAUUUAAUAUAAUUUGAUUACCAAGUACAAUUUAUUUUUCUGAGUACUUUACCAACAUUCUCCAAUUACUCUUGGAAAAUGAUUAUACUGGGUGGAAAUGUAUUAAGUUUUAGCAGUGUCACAUGUUGAGCAAAAACAGUUGAAUCUGAAACAGAGGAAUUUUGAUUCACAAAUGAGUCUGCCAGUGAGAACAUACUUACCUAUAGUCUUUGAAGCAGCUGGUUAGAGCUUAUUGCAGAUUCUUGGUCUAUGCUCAUUAAGUUUAGUACACAGUUCAGCCUGUGCCUGAAUGUUAAAUUGGAAGUGAUGUGAUUUUUAGAACAGUUCAGAACAGGCCUGAGCUACCUCUGGCAUGGAGUUGUUGAAGGCUGCCUGUGGCCCACCUUCAGUCCCACCAGACUGGUUCUUCCCUGCUGGGACACAGGCAUCAUAAUGCAAGGGCAGGUUGUUACUUGCCACAUCAGGUGGUGGGAUUCAGCAUUGAAGCUACUUAAACUCCAGUGACAUGAUUUUAGUUUCUCAUACUGUGAAGCUAGAAUAUUUGAGACUGUUACCAUCCUAAUUUAGGUUUCUUCAUAUAAAGUACUUUUGCUUUUCUCAUCUCAGUGUCAUUUGUCUCUACUCUUGAGUUGUAUAUUGGUUUUCUACAUGUCAGACAGAUUCAUCUCUUCAGAGUUGGAAUAUAAUUAUUAUUUGUAUAGGUGCAUAAUCUUGUAUGUUUACGUUGAACAGAUUUUCAGAAAUACCAUUUACAUUUAGAAAAUACAUAGAUGUAUCUAAGGAAUUUUUCUGUUGUGCUAUAAUACAUACUGUUUCAAAUAUGUGGUAAAAUUCUGUGACCUGCCAUAUUGGAUUUAAAACUUCAUCUUCAUCUUAAAACUUCAUCUUUUGAAAUCUCUGAAAAUCAUUAGUGUGCAUGUAUUGAACACCAGUCUUUAUUCUGUAAUUAACACCCCAGAUUUCUUUCCCCUCACCUUAUGCCAUCCAUCUGUGUGUUUGGUUUCCAGUAUGCCAUGUGGAAGAGGUGUGAGCCUUUCUUCAGCCCAAGAAGGAAACUUUAAACAUAUUUGCACAAUAAAAUUUCAAAUUAAACAUUUCAAAAAGGGUGCUCAGACUAGAAAUACAUGCUCUUCUGAAAUUCCAUGUUGCAACUGUAACUCCUGUCAUAUAUACCCAGUGUAUGAGGAAAAGUUCUUGCAGUUUUCACACUGCCCUUCUGUAUUGCUGCCUGGCUGUGCUCUGUUGUUGGAACUGAAAUAUGAAAUUUUUACUUUGAAGUAUGUUAAUGUCAAAGUUGAUCGUAUUAAGUUUGGAAAUCCUUUGAGGUUUAUCUAAUAAGUGUGUUGGAGCUUCUGUCUCUUCUGGUAAUACUGUACCCUGUUGAACCAAGAACAGUUUUAUUGUUUGUGGGACUUCGUUGGUUUUCUAAUACCAUAACCUGUGUCCCUGUGCAGUCAGGGGGUCACUUCUUUAAGAUCAUGUAUAAUACGGCCCGUCAUAUACACGUAGAUAGAGCCAUGUGAUUCCAGAAAUUAGAAGACUGGAUCUGUGGAAUCCAUACAUGUUAAAAUUUUGCCAAAAUGAGAUGAUUAAAAUUUUUGUGAGUUUUAUAAACUGUUGCAGUUCGCCUUACUGAUUUUUCAAUGAUAAUCACUUUUAUGGGAAGGGGGCUUAGGAACAAAAAACUUUGCCAAGAAUGCAAAAUCUUACUGGUUUUUAAAGCUUGUAACAGUUGUGUGUAAAACUUUUAUAUUUGAAACGUAAACUCACCCUUUCUGCCACUGCUUUCAUUGCACUUUUCAUACCAAGUUCUCUCCAACGUGGUGUCUGAAAGAUUUUUAUUAUAUACACUCUUUAUGGAAUUCAAUGAAGUGUGGUUAUGCUGUGUUUCUGAAGUUUUUAGGCUUUUCUUCAUUGGCCUGCCUAAUACUAGUGUGUUUCUAUAACUUCAGAUGAUUCAAAAGUUUAGUGCUUCAUUGUAGCAAAAAAUGUAUAUAACUCAUAAUAUCCUACAUGUAGUAUUCAAAAUCAAUUAUUAAUAACCAAUAAAAGACUCAACACAUUUUCAUUGCGUGUUCUUCUUUAAGACACCUAAACUCAUAUCUCAUAAUUUCUGAAUCCGCAAUCCCUAUUCAUUAAUUGAUUACAGUUUUUGAGUUGUUGGAAAGCCUAGCCCUCUCAGAUUCAGGGUUCAGAAAGAAUUACCAGGUCUGGUAAAAUUGUCUGACUAGCCCUUAGCCUCAGAAUGGUCAACUUCAUAGUAUAAGCAAAGAAAGUGGUGAUCUCAUAUAGUCAGCUUUUUCAUGAACAUUAAUUCAUGGUGAAUGCACUCACAGCAACCAAAAUCCAAAAAAAAAAAAUGUUCAUCUAAAACCUUAAACAUUAGCUUGGCUCAUUGAGUUCUUGGUACAACCUGCUUUUCAUAUGACACAGUAUCAAACAUGAUUUCAGAUGAAAUGGGUGGUGUUAAUAUUGUGUUAAAG
rnacentral:lncRNA from 1 species